CCUACGGGAGGCAGCAGUGGGGAAUAUUGGGCAAUGGAGGAAACUCUGACCCAGCGACGCCGCGUGCGGGAUGAAGGCCUUCGGGUUGUAAACCGCUUUCAGUAGGGAAGAAGCGAAAGUGACGGUACCUACAAAAGAAGCACCGGCUAACUAUGUGCCAGCAGCCGCGGUAAUACAUAGGGUGCAAGCGUUGUCCGGAAUUAUUGGGCGUAAAGAGCUCGUAGGUCGUUUGUUACGUCGGAUGUGAAAACCUGAGGCUCAACCUCAGGCCUGCAUUCGAUACGGGCAAACUAGAGUUUGGUAGGGGAGACUGGAAUUCCUGGUGUAGCGGUGGAAUGCGCAGAUAUCAGGAGGAACACCAAUGGCGAAGGCAGGUCUCUGGGCCAAUACUGACACUGAGGAGCGAAAGUCUGGGGAGCGAACAGGAUUAGAUACCCUGGUAGUCCAGACCGUAAACGGUGGGCACUAGUUGUGGGAACCUUCCACGGUUUCUGCGACGCAGCUAACGCAUUAAGUGCCCCGCCUGGGGAGUACGAUCGCAAGAUUAAAACUCAAAGGAAUUGACGGCUGAGACNGCGAGCGACACGAGGAGAG
rnacentral:rRNA from 1 species